rnacentral:sRNA from 1 species
GUAAUAAAUCCUUAGAGGGCACGAAAUAUCCAGUCACAGGAGUUUGCAGGGGCUUCUUCAUUUGUAAGAACGAGGAAUCUCGUUACGAUCAAUGCGAUACUUACAUGAGAUUUGAUAGCGCCAUUAAAGAAUGUGUUGAUGACCCAACUUGUUACUAAAAAACACACAGAGACAAGAAUGAACAGUUUUAAUGUAUUCUUAUAAUGUAACAUUUAUAGAUCUUCAUAAAGGACUAUGGGCUGUAGACGUCUGUAUACAAUUUGUUUAGAAUUUAGAUCAACUGUGUUGUGAUGUAGGCUUCUACAUUACACUCAAUGGGAAAUUGUAAUAUAAAUAAAAUAUUCUUUAUCAAACAGCA